rnacentral:rRNA from 1 species
UACGGGGGGGGGCAAGCGUUGUUCGGAAUUACUGGGCGUAAAGGGCUCGUAGGUGGCCAACUAAGUCAGACGUGAAAUCCCUCAGCUUAACUGGGGAACUGCGUCUGAUACUGGAUGGCUUGAGUUCGGGAGAGGGAUGCGGAAUUCCAGGUGUAGCGGUGAAAUGCGUAGAUAUCUGGAGGAACACCGGUGGCGAAGGCGGAUCUCUGGGCAUGUUCUGACGCUGAGGAGCGAAAGUGUGGGGAGCGAACAGG